rnacentral:rRNA from 1 species
GUCGUCAGCUUACCCCUUAAGAGCCAAACAGUAAGCAAACCCAGUACAACUCCAAACGUCAGGUCGAGGUGUAGCGUAUGAGAGGGAAAGAGAUGGGCUACAUUCUCUACCCUUAGUAGUUCGAAUAACGCAUUGAAACAUGCGUCUUGAAGAUGGAUUUAGAAGUAAAUAGAAAACAGAGAGUUCCACUGAAACUGGCCCUAAAGCGCGCACACACCGCCCGUCACUCUCCCCAAACAAUUUCAACCUAUAUAAUAAUAAACUAUCAACCUCAAGAGGGGGGACAAGUCGUAACAUGG